UACGAAGGGGGCUAGCGUUGUUCGGAAUUACUGGGCGUAAAGCGCACGUAGGCGGAUAUUUAAGUCAGGGGUGAAAUCCCAGAGCUCAACUCUGGAACUGCCUUUGAUACUGGGUAUCUCGAGUAUGGAAGAGGUGAGUGGAAUUCCGAGUGUAGAGGUGAAAUUCGUAGAUAUUCGGAGGAACACCAGUGGCGAAGGCGGCUCACUGGACGGUGACUGACGCUGAGACGCGAAAGCGUGGGGAGCAAACAGG
rnacentral:rRNA from 1 species